rnacentral:rRNA from 1 species
CUCCGUGUCCGAAAGGCUCACGGUAAUCAGUAAUAUGCGUCGUGAUGGGGAUAGAUCUUUGUAAUUCUUGAUCUUGAACGAGGAAUUCCUAGUAAACGCAAAUCAUCAAUUUGCAUUGAUUACGUCCCUGCCCUUUGUACACACCGCCCGUCGCACCUACCGAUUGAAUGGUCCGGUGAAAUCUCGGGAUUGUGGCCAGUUCACUUUAUUGGGAGUUGGCUGCGAGAACUUGCUUAAACCUUAUCAUUUAGAGGAAGGUGAAGUCGUAACAAGGUUUCCGUAGGAACCUGCGGAAGGAUCAUU